UACAGAGGGUGCGAGCGUUAAUCGGAAUUACUGGGCGUAAAGCGUGCGUAGACGGUCAUGUAAGUCGGGUGUGAAAGCCCCGGGCUCAACCUGGGAAUUGCAUUCGAGACUGCACGGCUAGGGUGCGGAAGAGGGAAGCGGAAUUUCCGGUGUAGCGGUGAAAUGCGUAGAUAUCGGAAGGAACAUCAGUGGCGAAAGCGGCUUCCUGGUCCAGCACAGACGUUCAGGCACGAAAGCGUGGGGAGCAAACAGG
rnacentral:rRNA from 1 species